rnacentral:rRNA from 1 species
UACGUAGGGUGCAAGCGUUGUCCGGAAUUAUUGGGCGUAAAGAGCUCGUAGGCGGUCUGUCACGUCGGCUGUGAAAACCUGGGGCUCAACUCCGGGCCUGCAGCCGAUACGGGCAGACUAGAGUUCGGCAGGGGAGACUGGAAUUCCUGGUGUAGCGGUGAAAUGCGCAGAUAUCAGGAGGAACACCGGUGGCGAAGGCGGGUCACUGGUCCAUUACUGACGCUGAGGUGCGAAAGCGUGGGGAGCAAACAGG